GCGGACGGGUGAGUAACACGUGGGUAACCUGCCCAUAAGACUGGGAUAACUCCGGGAAACCGGGGCUAAUACCGGAUAACAUUUUGAACCGCAUGGUUCGAAAUUGAAAGGCGGCUUCGGCUGUCACUUAUGGAUGGACCCGCGUCGCAUUAGCUAGUUGGUGAGGUAACGGCUCACCAAGGCAACGAUGCGUAGCCGACCUGAGAGGGUGAUCGGCCACACUGGGACUGAGACACGGCCCAGACUCCUACGGGAGGCAGCAGUAGGGAAUCUUCCGCAAUGGACGAAAGUCUGACGGAGCAACGCCGCGUGAGUGAUGAAGGCUUUCGGGUCGUAAAACUCUGUUGUUAGGGAAGAACAAGUGGCUAGUUGAAUAAGCUGGCACCUUGACGGUACCUAACCAGAAAGCCACGGCUAACUACGUGCCAGCAGCCGCGGUAAUACGUAGGUGGCAAGCGUUAUCCGGAAUUAUUGGGCGUAAAGCGCGCGCAGGUGGUUUCUUAAGUCUGAUGUGAAAGCCCACGGCUCAACCGUGGAGGGUCAUUGGAAACUGGGAGACUUGAGUGCAGAAGAGGAAAGUGGAAUUCCAUGUGUAGCGGUGAAAUGCGUAGAGAUAUGGAGGAACACCAGGGGCGAAGGCGACUUUCUGGUCUGUAACUGACACUGAGGCGCGAAAGCGUGGGGAGCAAACCGGAUUAGAUACCCUGGUAGUCCACGCCGUAAACGAUGAGUGCUAAGUGUUAGAGGGUUUCCGCCCUUUAGUGCUGAAGUUAACGCAUUAAGCCCUCCGCCUGGGGAGUACGGCCGCAAGGCUGAAACUCAAAGGAAUUGACGGGGGCCCGCACCAGCGGUGGAGCAUGUGGUUUAAUUCGAAGCAACGCGGAAGAACCUUACCAGGUCUUGACAUCCUUUGACAACCCUAGAGAUAGGGCUUUUCCUUUGGGAGCAGAGUGACCGGUGGUGCAUGGUUGUUGUCGUCAGCUUGUGUCGUGAGAUGUUGGGUUAAGUCCCGCAACGAGCCGCCAACCCGUUGAUUUUAGUUGGCCAUCCUUUAAGAUUGGGCCCUUUAAGGUGACUGAC
rnacentral:rRNA from 1 species